UGGGCCCGUAGCUCAACGGCAGAGCGGUUGGCUCAUAACCAAUUGGUUCUUGGUUCGAAUCCAAGCGGGCCCACCAU
rnacentral:tRNA from 1 species